GGCUCAGAUUGAACGCUGGCGGCAUGCCUUACACAUGCAAGUCGAACGGCAGCACGGGACUUCGGGUCUGGUGGCGAGUGGCGAACGGGUGAGUAAUGCAUCGGAACGUGCCAUUGAGUGGGGGAUAACGUAGCGAAAGUUGCGCUAAUACCGCAUAUUCUGUGAGCAGGAAAGCAGGGGACCGCAAGGCCUUGCGCUCUUUGAGCGGCCGAUGUCAGAUUAGCUAGUUGGUGAGGUAAAGGCUUACCAAGGCGACGAUCUGUAGCGGGGUCUGAGAGGAUGAUCCGCCACACUGGAACUGAGACACGGUCCAGACUCCUACGGGAGGCAGCAGUGGGGAAUUUUGGACAAUGGGGGCAACCCUGAUCCAGCCAUGCCGCGUGAGUGAAGAAGGCCUUCGGGUUGUAAAGCUCUUUCGGCCGGGAAGAAAUCGCAUGGGCCAAUACCCUGUGUGGAUGACGGUACCGGAAUAAGAAGCACCGGCUAACUACGUG
rnacentral:rRNA from 1 species